CGAAUGACCACAAUCAGGUUUUCUUCUUGAUCCUUCAGUGAGCCAAGGAGCAGCAUAUAGUCCAGAGGGUCAGCCCAUGGGGAGCUUUGUGUUGGAUGGUCAGCAACACAUGGGGAUCCGGCCUGCAGGACCUAUGAGUGGAAUGGGCAUGAAUAUGGGCAUGGAUGGGCAAUGGCACUACAUGUAACCUUCAUCAUGUAAAGCAAUCGCAAAGCAAGGGGGAAGUUUGCAGAGCAUGCCAGGGGACUACGUUUCUCAGGGUGGUCCUAUGGGAAUGAGUAUGGCACAGCCAAGUUACACUCCUCCCCAGAUGACCCCACACCCUACUCAAUUAAGACAUGGACCCCCAAUGCAUUCAUAUUUGCCAAGCCAUCCCCACCACCCAGCCAUGAUGAUGCACGGAGGACCCCCUACCCACCCUGGAAUGACUAUGUCAGCACAGAGCCCCACAAUGUUAAAUUCUGUAGAUCCCAAUGUUGGCGGACAGGUUAUGGACAUUCAUGCCCAAUAGUAUAAGGGAACUCAAGGGAAAAGGAAACACACGCAAAAACUAU
rnacentral:sRNA from 2 species